rnacentral:rRNA from 1 species
UACGAAGGGGGCUAGCGUUGUUCGGAAUUACUGGGCGUAAAGCGCGCGUAGGCGGCUUCGCAAGUCAGAGGUGAAAGCCUGGGGCUCAACCCCAGAACUGCCUUUGAGACUGCAUCGCUUGAAUCCAGGAGAGGUCAGUGGAAUUCCGAGUGUAGAGGUGAAAUUCGUAGAUAUUCGGAAGAACACCAGUGGCGAAGGCGGCUGACUGGACUGGUAUUGACGCUGAGGUGCGAAAGCGUGGGGAGCAAACAGG